rnacentral:lncRNA from 1 species
GUUUAAUAUGUUUUCUUUUUUUUUUUUUCAGACCUCUCCCUUCUUAACUGCCUGUCAAUAAGGAGUCAAGCCUCAAGGAGGAAAAGCAGCUGGACAGGUAAUACUCCUGGGGAUGGGCCCUAGCCAGACUGCUCCAGGAAUCGGGAAAUAAGAAGUAAAAGGCUGGGAAUCCUAGAUUGAAGAAGACCACGCAUGAAAAUGAAACAGUCUGAACCAUCACAGAUCAAGAAGAAAAACAACAACAACAACCACAAAAACCCAAUCAUUUCAAAAUUGAUCACUGACGAAUGAAGGCAGCGUUUAUUACUUCGUCCCUGGAAGAAAUUGAUAAUCACCAAUGUCUAGUGAGAAUCAUCUCCAUGGAGAGUAUGUCACGGAAGCUGUGACAUUUGACAUUGGAUGGUUCCUUUCCUCCAGCUUGAUGCAUAGAAUGCACUCAUCAGCGUCUGCAAUCCAUGGCAUAUCACAGGCUGCUAGCUGCUGUGGUUACCUCAUAUCUGUCAGGAAGCUCACGUGGACUUAUUUUAAAACAAACUUUGAGGGCAACUGGGUGACAGUUAAGUGUCUGCCUUUGGAUCAGGUCAUGAUUCCCGGAUCCUGGGAUCAAGCCCCGCAUUGGGCUCCCUGCUCUGCUGGGAGUCUGCUUCACCCUCUCCCUCUACUGCUCACAUGCGUGCUCUCUCUCUGUGUCAAAUAAAUAAAUAAAAUCUCUUUUAAAAAAGC